rnacentral:rRNA from 1 species
UACGUAGGGACCGAGCGUUGUCCGGAAUCAUUGGGCGUAAAGAGCGUGUAGGCGGCCAUACAGGUCAGCUGUGAAAACUCGAGGCUCAACCUCGAGACGUCGGUUGAAACCGUUUGGCUAGAGUCCGGAAGAGGAGAGUGGAAUUCCCGGUGUAGCGGUGAAAUGCGCAGAUAUCGGGAAGAACACCCGUGGCGAAGGCGGCUCUCUGGGACGGUACUGACGCUGAGACGCGAAAGCGUGGGGAGCGAACAGG